AUUGAACGCUGGCGGCAGGCCUAACACAUGCAAGUCGAACGAGUGGCGGACGGGUGAGUAAUGUCUGGGAAACUGCCUGAUGGAGGGGGAUAACUACUGGAAACGGUAGCUAAUACCGCAUACCAUCGGAUGUGCCAAGAUGGGACUAGCUAGUAGGUGGGGUAAAGGCUUACCUCGGCCAGGAUCCCUAGCUGGUCGGAGAGGAUGACCAGCCACACUGGGACUGAGACACGGCCCAGACUCCUACGGGAGGCAGCAGUGGGGAAUAUUGCACAAUGGGCGCAAGCCUGAUGCAGCCAUGCCGCGUGUGUGAAGAAGGCCUUCGGGUUGUAAAGUACUUUCAGCGGGGAGGCGUUACCCGAAGAAGAAGCACCGGCUAACUCCGUGCCAGCAGCCGCGGUACUAC
rnacentral:rRNA from 1 species